UCAACACUAAAAUUCUUUCCUCCCUUUUCUUCCUCCUUUCCUUGUUUUCUCCUCUUUUCACUCCUUUUUUUUCCCUCAUUUUCCUUUCCUCUCCCUUAUUUCCCUCACAUGCCUUCUCUUCCUAUUUGACUAGUUAUCCCACCCCUUUUACCAAAAGAAAGCGACCAACUUUCAUUUUUUUCUUUUCUCUCCAAAACCACCAUUCGUGCCACCUUUUUGUGUCUAGCUCCUCAUCUCUUCUUCUUUUUCACUUUUCCACCACAUCUCCUCUAUUGUGCCACUUAUUGCAUCAAAGUCACCACCACUGCACCAUCCACUUAGCUCCACCAACACACCACUGUACGAUCAAUGCCACCAUCGUCGCAUCACCACCGCCGCCACCCUUUCUUAUCC
rnacentral:lncRNA from 1 species